GAUGAACGCUGGCGGCGUGCCUAACACAUGCAAGUCGAGCGAAGCGCCUUACUUGAUUUCUUCGGGAUGAAAGUAUUGUGACUGAGCGGCGGACGGGUGAGUAACGCGUGGAUAACCUGCCUCAUACAGGGGGAUAACAGUUAGAAAUGACUGCUAAUACCGCAUAAGCGCACAGUGCUGCAUGGCACAGUGCGAAAAACUCCGGUGGUAUGAGAUGGACCCGCGUCUGAUUAGCUAGUUGGUGGGGUAACGGCCUACCAAGGCGACGAUCAGUAGCCGGCCUGAGAGGGUGAACGGCCACAUUGGGACUGAGACACGGCCCAA
rnacentral:rRNA from 1 species